CACCAGCCCUGCAGGGUCCCUGGUCCCAUCCCACCAGGGCAAGAGCUACAGCUCCCAAAAUGAAUCACCCCAGUUCAGCCAGCUGGAGGCAGAGCCUCUCCAGAACACAGGGCACCAGAAACAGCACCGCUCCCUACGUGCACCAGGCGCUGGUCUCAGCAUGGAGUGUGUCAUCUUGAGCUAAACUGCCCUUCAUCUUCCAUGGGGAUGCAUGAGUCCAGUAGGGGACAGGGCAAUGUGCUGCUGAUUAGCGUGCAUGAGAAACAUGGCACAGAAAAGUUGGUUGCACUUUUCAGUUGCACAUCAAGAAGCCUUGGCAAGGCAACAUCAUAUGAAGUGACUCCUGCAAAUGAGCCACAGGCCCAGCUGUGCUAGAUGCAGCAGUUACUAGCCACCAGCCCAGCUGUGGUUGAGGUUCCUGAAAGGAACUGUUGUCUGUGGCAGGCAAUUCACUGAGAAAAGCUCCUCAGAUGUGGCUCUCAGCGCAGCUGAAGCUGCAGAGCGUGAGGUUUGCCAUGAUUCUCCUGCAACACGUGGGUUAUUCAGAGAAUCCAGAGAACAUGACAAUUGAUACAGCUCCCUGAGAAGAGAUCCAGCAUAUGGACAGCAAAAGGCAUAGACUGCUGUUUAAUCAGAACAGUGACUUUAAAUAUCUGUGGUGCUGCCCAGGGAAAGGUCCGUGCCACAGACCAUGCAAAGACAGAAGUGGAGGCAAAGGAGACGACAGAUCACACUCGGUGCAAGGUGUGGCUUUUAUAACUUGAAUGCCUGGAACUCCUGCCAUUUACAACAUCAUGGCAUCUGUGGUGAUGCAAGAAGCCACAUUACAACUUAUCAGAUCUCAAGCUAGGCAGACCAUCACUUGAUUGCUAUAGGGGUCUCCGAGAAUUUUUCCACCAUUCCAGCUACAUACUGCAUUAUUGCAUAAUAGGUCUGCUACUUUAUUAGCCACCCUUGUAGGCAAGGUACUAUACCAGUUAAACCAGUAACCUAAUACAGUCUGAUGUAUCCUGUGUCUUAAAUCCAUGGAGCAUUCAACCCAAGAGGGAUUUCAAUUCAGAUGCUUGAAUUAAGUAAAUAAUUAUCCGGUUUAUUGAAGUCCCAAUUAAAGCACCAACCUAGUGAGAUCACACCAAAGACAUGACUUUGCACAGGGUCUCACAUUGCUAUGUCAUCUGUAGCAUUGGACAUUUGUAGUUGGGUACAAGCCUCGCACAAUGAAGUAGGCA